AUACUUACUUGGCAGGGAUGAUUCCAUGACCACGAAGAUGGUUUUUUCAAAGUGAAAUUUAUCCAUUGUACGCUGGAUGGUUUGAUCCCUGUGAAUUCCUUAAAUGUGGGAAACUCGAUUGCAUAAUUUCUGGUAGUGGGGGACUGCGUUCGUUUUCUCCCA